AGAGUUUGAUCCUGGCUCAGAAUCAACGCUGGCGGCGUGCCUAACACAUGCAAGUCGAACGCGAAAGUUCCUUCGGGAAUGAUUAGAGUGGCGUCCGGGUGAGUAACACGUGGGUAAUCUACCUUCGGGUGGGGAAUAACAUCUCGAAAGAGAUGCUAAUACCGCAUAAUGCAGCGGCAUCUAAUGAUGAUUAGUUGUUAAAGCGGGGGAUCGCAAGACCUCGCGCCUGAAGAGGAGCCUGCGGCCGAUUAGCUAGUUGGUGAGGUAAAGGCUCACCAAGGCUUCGAUCGGUAGCUGGUCUGAGAGGACGGCCAGCCACACUGGCACUGACACACGGGCCAGACUCCUACGGGAGGCAGCAGUGGGGAAUUUUGGGCAAUGGGCGAAAGCCUGACCCAGCAACGCCGCGUGAGGGAGGAAAUCCUUCGGGAUGUAAA
rnacentral:rRNA from 1 species